AGUUUGAUCAUGGCUCAGAUUGAACGCUGGCGGCAUGCCUUACACAUGCAAGUCGAACGGCAGCGGACCUUCGGGUGCCGGCGAGUGGCGAACGGGUGAGUAAUGCAUCGGAACGUGCCAUUGAGUGGGGGAUAACGUAGCGAAAGUUGCGCUAAUACCGCAUAUUCUGUGAGCAGGAAAGCAGGGGACCGCAAGGCCUUGCGCUCUUUGAGCGGCCGAUGUCAGAUUAGCUAGUUGGUGAGGUAACGGCUUACCAAGGCGACGAUCUGUAGCGGGUCUGAGAGGAUGAACCGCCACACUGGAACUGAGACACGGUCCAGACUCCUACGGGAGGCAGCAGUGGGGAAUUUUGGACAAUGGGGCAACCCUGAUCCAGCCAUGCCGCGUGAGUGAAGAAGGCCUUCGGGUUGUAAAGCUCUUUCGGCCGGGAAGAAAUCGCAUGGGUUAAUACCCUGUGUGGAUGACGGUACCGGCAUAAGAAGCACCGGCUAACUACGUG
rnacentral:rRNA from 1 species